rfam:Triticum aestivum genome assembly, contig: Triticum_aestivum_CS42_TGACv1_scaffold_405445_5BL
GGCCUAAUGGUCCUUCUCUGGUAGCUACAAGCAUUGACCAGGGGAUCAAUUAUUGGGCCAGGAAUCAGUUUUCACGCAUUGAUAGGAACCUAAGACUAUUCCAGUUUAAAGUCCAUGGAGCCUAUUAUUUUGAGUUGAUUU